GGGGUUCAUUUUUUAUCACCUGGAUCUCAGAAUGGAAACGAGGCUACUGGAGAAUAUUGUGAACAACUUAUCAGUACCAUUCAUGUUUUUAAAAUAGCUAAACACCUUAGCAAAAGGAAAUGCAAUGUAAAGAAGUCUUCUUCGAUGAAUUAAGGCUUAAGACGUGAUCUGUCAACAUGGGGCGCUUUCCAUUUAAUGGCCUGACCGUUCAGAUCCGAAUUUUUGUCUCUGUAUCAAUGGAAAGAUCAGGCCUGUGUUUCUCAAAUAUCUAGCGAAAAUGGACCUCAUUCUAAUUUUAUCAAAAUUUUUCGGUCAGAUAGGUCCAAUGUCCAAACGUUUUGUGUUUCAUUCAACAAUUUGACC
rnacentral:lncRNA from 1 species